rnacentral:rRNA from 1 species
GUCGAACGAAAAAUAAUUUUUCGUGGCGUACGGGUGAGUAAUACACAGGAAUCUGCCUUUUAGUUCAGGAUAAAAUUCUGAAUAACAAAAGAAAACUUUUCGCUAAAAGAUGAGCCUGUGUAGGAUUAGGUAGUUGGUAUUUGGGUAAAGGCCUACCAAGCCUAUGAUCCCUAGCUGUUCUGAGAGGUUGUACAGCCACACUGGGACUGAGACAAGGCCCAGGCUUCAUUUGGAGCCAGCAGUGAGGAAUUUUGGACAAUGAGCGAAAGCUUGAUCCAGCAAUACUACAUGAGUGAUGAAGGCUUUCAAGUUGUAAAACUCUUUGGUUGAGGAGGAUAAUGACAGUACUCAACAAAAUAGCCCCGGCUAACUUCGUGCCAGCAGCCGCGGUAAUACGAAGGGGGCGAGCGUUAUCCGGAAUGACUGGGCGUAAAGGGUCCGUAGGCAGCAUUUUUUGUUAGAGGUUAAAUAAAAAAGCUUAACUUUUUUCCGCUUCUAAAACGUAAAUGCUUUGAGUUUGAUAGGAGAUAGCAGAAUUUCACAUGGAGGGGUGAUAUCCGUAGAUAUGUGAAGGAAUACCAGAGGCGAAGGCGGCUAUCUAGAUCAAUACUGACGUUGAGGGACGAAAGCAUGGGGAGCAAACAGGAUUAGAUACCCUGGUAGUCCAUGCCCUAAAAGAUGAGUGCUCGUGCUUAGAUAUUUUUAGGCACUUAGUUAACACGUUAAGCACUCCGCCCUGGGGAGUACGACCGCAAGGUUGGAACUCCCAGGAAUUGACGGGGGGCCUAUACAAGUGGUGGAGCAUGUGGUUUAAUGCGACAAUACGCGCGAAACCUUACCAGUUCUUGCAUAAAAAAAGAAAAAGUUUGAAAGGACAAUUUCUGAAGAUUUUUACAGGUGCUGCAUGGCUGUCGUCAGCUCGUGUCC